UGGGCUAUGACCCUGUUACCUGGCACCGGCUCCAACACUGCUAAGCAACUGUACGGACAAAACUUUCCGUGAACUUUGAAGAAUUGCGGCUUCUCUUUUCCUUAAGAAAAGCGAGAGGACAUUUUGGGAGGGAGAAGACUAUAAUGUGAGAAAUACUCCAGGUAACAAAAGGUUUUCUGUGAAGUUUGGCUGCGCCUCUGGGGAUAAGAGGGAUUCCUUUUACAAGAUGUACGUAGGAAACACAAGAAUCCUUACAUUAAGCAUGCAAUUAAAGUAAUCCAAGAAAGUUUCUUCAUUUUUUUAGAAACAGGCCCACAAAGGUAGCCCAACCCCCCUAUACUUCAUGCUUUUGGAAAAGAUAUAAAAGCCAUGGCAUCUAUCCACAAUCUGAAGACCACUUGAAGUACAGUGUUCAGGUCUUCUGCACUGCGCAACCUACCAUAGGACUGAUUUAACUGAGCUUCAAACAUGCUGUACAGGAAUACACUCAUCUUCCUCUCUCUGGCUGUUCUGCUGGUAAAAGCUGACUUUGAUUUAGAUCAGGGCUCCCAGAACUCGCAAGCAAUGUCCACAGACCAGGACUCCACGUCUGAUGAAGUUCCCACAGAAAGCAUGAAUUCCAUUUCUUCAGAUCAGCCCAAAGAUGUUAGCAGCAUAAGCUCUGAAAGUGAUGUUAGUGAACCUCUACCUAGCAACGAAAUCAACGAAGAUGGUACCAAUUCCAGCAUUGAGGAUCAGGAUGAAGACCGGAACUCUAGCAUUGACGAUGAUACAGGGAAACGCUAAAUCGGAUGAAGGGACUGCUGUUGGAUUUUCAAGGAAAGAGACAAAUGCUAGGGCCUGCAUUCUUCUGUUUUAGUUACAAAUAGAUUGUUAAACUGAUUUUGUCAAAUUUUGACUUUUAAUUUGUGAUUAUCUUCUCAUGCAUACAGUAUUUUACACUUUUUAAAAAUAAUACUUUCAAAUGGAUAAAAAAAGGAAAAUAAUAUUUCUUUCUUACAUGAUACCUUGCAUUUUUUAAUAAACUUUCCCAAG
rnacentral:lncRNA from 1 species